rnacentral:rRNA from 1 species
UACGUAGGGGGCAAGCGUUGUCCGGAUUUACUGGGCGUAAAGAGCGUGUAGGCGGCCAGGCAGGUCUGUUGUGAAAACUGGAGGCUCAACUUCCAGACGUCGACAGAAACCGCUUGGCUAGAGUCCGGAAGAGGAGAGUGGAAUUCCUGGUGUAGCGGUGAAAUGCGCAGAUAUCAGGAAGAACACCGAUGGCGAAGGCAGCUCUCUGGGACGGUACUGACGCUGAGACGCGAAAAGCGUGGGGAGCGAACAGG